AUGCCUAGCUUGGGCCUCUUCUUAUUCCCAUAAACAGUUGCAGAAGUCCAGCCUGGUAGUGGAUACAUCUUACAACCUUAGGGCCUCAGGACAAGCAAGCUGAUUCAACCCUGGUCCGUGUUUCUCUCAUCCUCAUCAGGCUUCAGGAGACUUGUUCACCUGGCUGAAGCACAGGGCUUCACCAUGCAAGCCUAGACUCAGAAGGGUCCCACACCACUUCUAUAUUCUGUUAACCAAGACAAAUAACUGAAUCCCUCCAAUUCAAAGGAGAGAAAAAUAAACUCCAUAAGCAAAGUCCCUUUAUAGUGGCAUGUGGGUACACAAGGAAAACAAUUGCUACUCUGUUUACAGGCAAAUGAUCAUAAAUAUUUGCUGUAAAAAGAGAAUUCGGUCUAUCUCCUUGAUAGGUUUAAGGACCAUUACUAUUUCCAAAUAAGAAACAGAAAAACAAAAAUAUGAUCUUAGAUCAUUCAAUAGGCAUAUAGAAGGUGGAAAUAGCAAUCAAUAUUCUAUAAUAAUAAAUAAAAAGUGGAAUAACAAGAAUAGAAGAAAUAGAAUAUGGAAAUAUGCAGAAAUAGCAAGACUAUUGCAAUCUUCCAAAUGAGGGAUUGGCCAAAAACAUUAAGGAUGUCCCAGGCCUCCAGGCAGGAUUCUGCAAUUCAUGCACUGCAGGGUGAAGGAAGUUGAAACCUCACUUGUUUCCCAAACUCUGGGCUCUGGCCCAGGACUGAAUUAGCCUAAAGGAAGAAGCACUUUUUUAUAAUUCUUCCACCCAAAGUGCACGCCUUUUCUUUACUUUGUCAAUCUUGAGGGGAUACUUACUCAAAAAUCUGCCUUUUCAUAUGAGUGGGAUUAAUUUUUUGAAUUGCAAAGGUAAUCUGAACAUUCUUGGCCCUGAGUCAGGAGGCUGGGUUUUUGUCUCAUGAUUCUACACAUUUGCUCAAUGUUCCCUCUACCUCGAAUGAGCAUCUCCCUCAUCUUCCUGGCAAAUGUCUUCUUGCUUUUCAAGAAUAACCCUAAGAUUACCUGUGUCCACACAAGAUUACACAAGUGUUUCUGAUUCUGUGCCAUUUCUCACCUUGAUGGAUGAGAAUGCCAGCCCAGUCCUCCUCGUGUUGGUGCUUUGCCCGGUAACAUCCCUCCAUCAUCAGACCUUGUCUAAAAUGGGAUCCAGAAUAAUCUUAGCUCUAUUCUAUCAUAGCUAAUCCCAGCCUUCUGCCCUCCAAUCAUGCACUUUAAGGUCUCCAAGGAAGAAAGUACACAGCAAAAAGACUCGAGCAAAGAAACACUCUCCAGUUUUAUAAUGCUUUUAUGCCAAGCACCAUGAAGUCUCUCUGAGCCAAAGUCAAAGGCAGGCCAUUGGUCCCCAACCCAUUUAGGUCAUAGAACCUUCUUUCCCUUCUCAACUAAUUCUGCAUCCAAAUAUCAGCUUGUCUUAAUAGUUUGAAAAGGGAAAAAAAAUUCUCAGGAAAGCAGAAAAAUUGUGCACAAAACAAACAUCUUUACACCCCUCCUGCUAAUGAUUUAUCCAUAACAUUGUUAGAUAUGAUUUGGUAUCUCAGCUCUCCUCCAUAGUUGGAAAUCAGAGUCUAGAGCUGUUAUUACAUUAAUUAAUAUGAAUUAAUAUCAUCAUGUUAUAAUAAUGUAAUUAUAUUAAUAUUUAUAAUUUUUAUAUUAUAUAUUAUAUUUAAGUUUUUAUAAGUGUUCCAAAUCUGGGACAACAGGACAAAAUGGAUUAAAGAACCAAUUUAUAAAUCCACUUCCCCCAGUAAAGUCUUACUGGUUCCCCCAGUGAGUUGACUAUUUCUCUGUUUUCUUUUGUUACCUGCUCAAAUGCCAUUGUAUCCUUUCGGUGCAAUUAUCUCCAGAUGGAUUUCUUGUAUUCCAAGGGAUAUGCAAGAUCAUCCAUUAAGGAAGAAUUAUUCGAAUUUAUUCUUGUGUGUGUUUUUUAUCUUUCUUUAUCUUUCUAAAUCUGUACUUUGACUUGAAUCAAAGUGUGAAAUAUGAUAUAUCAAGAACUAUGUAAUGUUUU
rnacentral:lncRNA from 1 species